GGUAACUUCACAGUACUAACAUGAAAUAAUUUAAUUACCUUACCUUGAAUACUCAUCGUUGCUUGCUCGUUGUAUAGGGGUAAUGUCUAGAUUUGCUGUAAUUGUUACUACAAUGGGUCCUUGGGUUUGUAAUAUGCUACAUAAGAACUGAUAUUGUUUAAAGCUUUCCAUAUUAAAUAUUUUCGUAAUACCAUCUUCAUAACAAUCAGCAGUUCACCAAUAUAAGCUUUUCCAACAUAAGUUGUCAUCUCAGAAAUGUUCAACAACACGACCUUUCUCAAAAUCGUCCAUUUCUCACGAGUAGCACAUUUGGGCUCAUUCCAUUAAGUAUCAUACAAACAAUGGCUUUGUUCAUCAGAGAAAAUUGGCUGACAAUCAUAUUUUGGUCACAGAUGAACAUAUGUUUCUCCUCUGUUGUUCUUAACAUUCUUAGAAUAUAGUGAAAUAUAAAUUGUGUAAUUUAAGCUUAUUUACUGUUUUUCCAUAAAGUGCUGAUUUUGUUAAAACAAUUUGUCAAAGCAAGUUUUGCUUGGAAAGAGUCCCAUAAUUGAAAAUCUUAACAGCAGUUGUUUUGUGAAGACUAGUUCUAGGGAGCACCAAUUUAAACAGCAGACCUCAGUAAAGUGAGCUAUCUUAGUUUUUCGUGCUGUUUUUACAAACAAUGUCGACAAUAUGUAACUUAAUAUCUUUAUUUAAGACCACUAGUUUAUAUUCUCCUCAUUUGUUUGCACACAUACACUCGUGUUCAGGGAAAAAAAAAAAAGAAAACAGAACACAUUUAACAACUAGAGAAAGGACAUUCAUAUUCACAGGACAUAUAAAUUACUAUGCCAUGCAGAAAUAAUUAGCAUUUCAAUCACCUUUACAAAACAUUGUCUUCACACUCGACUUCACCUGCCUAGCCUGUUUUAGAUGGGGCUAAUCUUCAAUGGCCAUUUCUCCCUCUUUAAACUGAGAAAACCAUUCGUACAUUUGAGUUUCACUAAGAGUGUGUUCUUUGUAGGUUAUCUGCAUCAUCACAAAAUUUUUUGCUGCUCACUUGCCAAGUAAAAAACAACUUGCCAAGUAAAAAACAAUAUUUCACAGCCGGACCUUGUUCAUAAGAAGUAGCCAUUUUGUCAUGUUGCAUCUGUACUUUACACGCACUGCCGGAACUGCUAGAGAAACCACACACCUGCCUAUCACAGUACAAUCAACCUGAAAUUUAUUACAUGAAAUUAGAAUAGAUUCUUCAUAUAAGUACCAAUCUCAGCAACUACAUCUAGACGUUUACAGAACAUAACAUAUACAUUAUAUGACCAAUUAAUGUUUUAAUAACAAAUCUAUUAGUUGAGUUAGAAGAUGAUUCAAACUGGGACAAAGCAAUACCGACAAUAGGUUGUUUUGCAGUACUAAAAUAAGAAGGCUCACAUUUACAACUAUCGUCCCAAUUACUUUUGUAACCAAAGAAUUAAAUUUAAGGGGCAAUGAGUCGAGGGACAAGUUCACACACCAAUUUACAGAUUAAAAAUUAAUCUUGUGCAUUAACAAAUAUGCCAGAUUACAUCCGAGUUAAUUGAGGAUACGGUCACCAAAAGCCUUUGCAUUUGAGCACUUUUGUCAGUGUUCUGUACAGUUCUGCAUGUGUUCUGUACAGUUCUCCAUGUGUUUGAUAGACCAGUGCCACUGUUCUAGAUAGCUGAAAAGGUUUUCAGUUGUUUACGUAACCUCUUGUACAGAAUCUUUAUUGUAAAUGAGCAAUUUUUGGCAUUUUAUUCACAAAACUUUGCGACAGUGUAAGGAAAAGGUUACUGUGUUAGAUAUAGGUCACUUGCAACUUGCUAUCUCCAUUCUGGCCACAUUGUUCAGUUUCAUCGAACCCCACAUUCCCCUGGGCUGAGCUUGAAUAGAGCACAUGCAAUCUUUGACUUGUCUGCUAUAAAUUCAAACAGCAAACUUUAUAGCAGUAUGAGCAUUAAAUGAGAUUGCUUUGGCUUUAGGAGGAAGAUAGGGGCUGCAAUACCCAAAGAAAUUGAAGAAUUCAGUCUUGGACACAUUUUGAUCUAUUUACUCAAAUUGGGGCCUCUGGGAUAAACUCCCAAAGCUGUGAUUUCUUAAUCUUAUUUAAUACUUUGAUUCUUACAUUGUUGAUGCAGAAAGUAUGCAAUAAUGUUUUUUCACGUACACCAUGCGCGACUAACGAACGAUUUAUAAAACAUUAAUUGAAAUUAAAACUUUCAGCUCUUUCAGUUUGUGUAUUCAGUACUAAUACAUAUGAGUAACAAUUUAAAUAAGAUUAAUUCAUGACAUUGUGGUUAUAUGUCAAAAGGCAAGAAUAAACUCAUAUAUUUGAGUAUUUGAGGACUGCGUACAAGAAGAAGAAGAAGAAGAAGAAGAAGAAGAAGGAAGCACUGCGGACCUACAAAGACAAUAUUUGUUAACAGGAUAUGUUAGUGUUAAAUUAUAUGCCUCAAUUGCAGAAGCAAUCUUUGUUUGACAAACUUAACAACGAAAUAGUUAUAUGCCUAAUGCUCAGCAUUACAGGUACAUGCUAAAGCAGAUGUUAAAGAGCUGUUGCAUACUGUAAAGUGUUGUUUUAAGAAUAAAUUCCACAGUACACUGUAAAGUUCUCAUGUAUCUGCAACCUUAUUGGAAACACACAAUUUUUAUAAAUGUAGCAACUGAAUAAAGUUACUAAAUGUAAGUCUGAAGUGUACCAAAAGUUAUAAAAAACAUUCUCAACUUUUUACAGCAUAUGUCUAUUAUUUAAGACACUUGAAAUGAUUGUAUUAUUAUGACCUGGUGUGUAUAUGUUAAAAUACAUUGAAAAUAAAUAUUUUCUGUACUAUUGUUCA